CAGCGUUUGACAUGUCCGGACGACUUCCAGAGAUGGAUUUCUUCCCUUCGGGGACUGGAACACAGGUGCUGCAUGGCUGUCGUCAGCUCGUGUCGUGAGAUGUUGGGUUAAGUCCCGCAACGAGCGCAACCCUCGCCUUUAGUUACCAUCAUUUGGUUGGGUACUCUAAAGGAACCGCCGGUGAUAAGCCGGAGGAAGGUGGGGAUGACGUCAAGUCCUCAUGGCCCUUACGCGCUGGGCUACACACGUGCUACAAUGGCAACUACAGUGGGCAGCGACCCUGCGAGGGCGAGCUAAUCCCCAAAAGUUGUCUCAGUUCGGAUUGUUCUCUGCAACUCGAGAGCAUGAAGGCGGAAUCGCUAG
rnacentral:rRNA from 1 species